AGGACCACAGGUCGGGCGACUGAGCUCCGAGCUCGCUCAGUUGGUGGGGCGGGAGCCCGCGCCCGGCGCCCGGCGCCCGGCGCCGACUUCCUGCCUCAAUGCCCCCUCCCCCACUACCUGCGGCCUAGCGAGACAGCCCCGGGCGCUCAGGCUUCUUUCAUCCUCGGUAGCUGUAAGGUGCUGCUUGGCUGAUCCUGGCCGGAAUCCAGUGGAAGCGCGCGCCGCUGAGCCCCUGUCAGCGGAGGAGAAUGGGGCCUGGACCUGCAGAUGUGAGGGUCUGCAGAGAGGGGCCCCUUCCCUGGUGUCCUAUGGUGUGCGAUCACUGGAGAGGGAGUUUCUCGCCCUCGUCGCACCUGCAGCGCGGGGAGAUGAGAUUUGGAUUUCGUUUUCGGCUUAGUCUUAGCCUGUUAACCUCUCCGUUCCCUGAACCUGUGCCAAACUUUAAUUUAGUGAAACCUGUGAAUCACUGGACAACUCUUCUUUCUACGGUAUUUACCAGCUAAUUACUUUUCCUUCUCUAUUAAUCUCGUGGUGGACCGUUUAAACCUCUUGUACUCCUAAAGUUUUGACCUCUACUCUCUCAGUUUUGAAUGAAUCCCCCCAAAAUUUUGGAAUUGGUAACGUAAAAUGUUAACGGUGGUUCGAUUGCCAGCUAAAACAUCCUGUCAUAGUAUCUGGCCAAUAUGAGGUCCUCACAAAUCGAGCAAAUAUUGAGGAAUAGCUCUAAUCCAUAGAGGUGAUACUGUAUCUGGCCACAACCAAUGAAUCCAGUGGUACAUACCUAAUACAAGCUGAGCUAGUAAAAGAGUCUCUGCCAGCAAAGCAAAAUUUGAAAGAUAAAGAGGCAGGAGGCCUUCGCAGGUGAGCAUAUUAUUGGCAACUCAACCUCUGCUGCUAAAGUCCCUAUGGCUGUUCUACCUGAGGCUAGCUUAUCCAACUAUUACUUUUAUUCCAUGAGUCAGAUCAGUAUGUUUACAAUAAAUCCUAAUUUUAAAAAUUUAAGUUAGCUAAAAUUGGUUUCUAUUGCUUGCAAAUAAAAUAGACUUAAUAAAUACAAUAAAUUGUUACAUAAUAAAAAUUAUUAUAUAAACAUGUUUGAU